rnacentral:antisense_RNA from 2 species
CGUUAUGGCAACUGUGCGUGGGAGACCUUCGGGUCUGCCGGAUACUCCGGGCCGGUCUUGCACACUUACGCACAGUUGCCACCCUU